CAAGAACAAGAAGAGAGAAAGAAGAAAAGAAGAAGAGAAGAGAAGGAAAGAAGAGAGGAAGAAGAGAUAAGGAAAGAGUUGAGAUUUCUGAGACAGCAAUUAGAAGAUCCAUUGUGCGGGCAAUCUGAAUCGCAGUGUAAGAACCUGCUCAACCCAAAGGAGUGAAUUUCUUAGCCUUGACUACCAAGAUGACGAUGGAGGUAUUCUGUAGACAAUGGCCAUGGAUCACAUGACCUAAAUUCAAGCAGAUGAACUCGACCACGGACCUACCUGUGACUGUGACAAUUGUACCUAUAGAGGCCAGUGUUACUAAGGAGUAGCGAUAUCACUGACCAUUCUUUUUGUGUACAUACAAGCUUCGGCAGAGAUCACUUUUGGUGAUCUGAGCUCUUUUUGAGAGAUGACAUAUAUUGGGUAAAUAUUCCAUGAUAUUUUGGAUAACUGUAAUAUAUGUGGAUAACUAUAAGAUAUGGAUGACUGUAUUAUGUCUAUAAAUAUAAAAAUGAUAUCACGUAGAGACACUGGAUGGCUAUGAAUUUUAGUACUGUACAUAUGGUGUAUGCAGCAACUAUGAUCUCUAGUUAGGUAUUGUGGUGUUGUGGACUACCCAGAGUCUGGAUC